rnacentral:rRNA from 1 species
AGCUCAAAGUUGGAACCUGUUUGGCUUAGCUAAACCGGAUUGUAAACUGUAGAAGUGUUUUCCAGACACGCCUGGUAAAAAAGUCCUUUGGAACAGGGCAUCAUAGAGGGUGAGAAUCCCGUCAUUGGCCAGAGCUGUUGUCUUUUGUGAUACAUUUUCAAAGAGUCAGGUUGUUUGGGAAUGCAGCCUAAAUUGGGUGGUAAAUCUCACCUAAAGCUAAAUAUUUGCGAGAGACCGAUAGCGAACAAGUACCGUGAGGGAAAGAUGAAAAGAACUUUGAAAAGAGAGUUAAACAGUAUGUGAAAUUGUUAAAAGGGAACCGUUUGGAGCCAGACUGGCUUAAUCGUAAUCACUCUAGGCUUUGGCCUGGAUGCACUUGCGGUUUAUGCCGGCCAACGACAGUUUUNUUUGAGGGAAAAAAUUACAUUGAAUGUGGCCCCUCGGGGUGUUAUAGCUUUGUAAAAAAUACCUUGAACGGGACUGAGGAACGCAGCGAAUGCCUUUAGGCGAGAUUGCUGGGUGCUUGCGCUGAUACAUGCUANAAUUUCUGCUUCGGGUGGUGCUAGUGUGUAAAGGAGUAACCCGCCUA